rnacentral:rRNA from 1 species
AGUGCCGUUGAUACUGUGAGGCUAGGAUUUGGUUGCUGUGGGUGGAAUGUGUGGUGUAUCGGUGAAAUGCUUAGAGAUCACACAGAAUAUCGAUUGCGAAGGCAGCUCACAAAGCCAAGAUUGACGCUGAGGCACGAAAGUGUGGGGAUCAAACAGGGUUAGAUACCCUGGUAGUCCACACUGUAAACGAUGAUUGCUCGCUGUCGGCGAUAUACAGUCGGUGGCCAAGGGAAAGCGAUAAGUUAUCCACCUGGGGAGUACCACCGCAAGGUUGACACUCAAACGAAUUGACGGGGGGCCCGCGCCGCUGGAGGAACAUGGUGGUUUAAUUCGAUGAUACGCGUGGGAACCUUACCCGGGCUCGAAUCGGGGCAGGGAAUAUGGUAGAGAUAUCAUAGCUAGUAAUAGUCUGCAUCGAGGGUGCUGGCAUGGUGGUCUUCAGCUCGUGCCGUGAGGUGUCCAACUUAAGUGCCAUAUGGAGCGGCACCCCUUGGCGUUAGUUACCAACAAGUGGCAAGGUGGAGGACUCUAGUGAGACUGCCCCCCGUAAAGGUGAACAGGCAAUGGGGGGAUGACGUUCAGAUCAGCACUGCGUUUUUUUUUUCGAGAGAGCAAACCCCGGGUGUUUACAAAUGGGGGGGUACACAAGAGGGCAAGCCCUUCCGGGCGAACGAGACCCGCCAAAUCUUCAAAAAACCCCUUCUCAAGUUUCGGAAUUUGGGAGUCCUCGCAACCCC